rnacentral:tRNA from 1 species
GAAGGGGUGGCUGAGUGGUUUAAAGCGGCAGAUUGUAAAUCUGUUAGUCCAACUAUCGUAGGUUCGAAUCCUAUCUUCUUCUA